rnacentral:tRNA from 1 species
GGCCGCGUAGUUCAACGGAUAGAACAAAUGUUUCCUAAACAUUAGAUCCGGGUUCGAUUCCCGGCGAGGCUA